rnacentral:tRNA from 2 species
AGCCCGGUCGUCUAGUGGCCAAUCUCCAAGGUUGAGGACCUGGAGACAGCAGUUCGAAUCUGCUCCGGGCUACCA